UACGUAGGGUGCAAGCGUUAAUCGGAAUUACUGGGCGUAAAGGGCGCGUAGGCGGCCAUCUAAGUCAGACGUGAAAUCCCCCGGCUUAACCUGGGAACUGCGUCUGAUACUGGACGGCUCGAGUUUGGGAGAGGGAUGCAGAAUUCCAGGUGUAGCGGUGAAAUGCGUAGAUAUCUGGAGGAAUACCGGUGGCGAAGGCGGCAUCCUGGACUAACACUGACGCUGAGGCGCGAAAGCUAGGGGAGCAAACGGG
rnacentral:rRNA from 1 species